rnacentral:rRNA from 1 species
UGAGGAAUAUUGGUCAAUGGCCGGGAGGCUGAACCAGCCAAGUCGCGUGCAGGAAGACGGCUCUAUGAGUUGUAAACUGCUUUUGUACGAGGGUAAACUCACCUACGUGUAGGUGACUGAAAGUAUCGUACGAAUAAGGAUCGGCUAACUCCGUGCCAGCAGCCGCGGUAAUACGGAGGAUUCAAGCGUUAUCCGGAUUUAUUGGGUUUAAAGGGUGCGUAGGCGGUUUGAUAAGUUAGAGGUGAAAUCCCGGGGCUUAACUCCGGAACUGCCUCUAAUACUGUUAGACUAGAGAGUAGUUGCGGUAGGCGGAAUGUAUGGUGUAGCGGUGAAAUGCUUAGAGAUCAUACAGAACACCGAUUGCGAAGGCAGCUUACCAAACUAUAUCUGACGUUGAGGCACGAAAGCGUGGGGAGCAAACAGGAUUAGAUACCCUGGUAGUCCACGCAGUAAACGAUGAUAACUCGUUGUCGGCGAUACACAGUCGGUGACUAAGCGAAAGCGAUAAGUUAUCCACCUGGGGAGUACGUUCGCAAGAAUGAAACUCAAAGGAAUUGACGGGGGCCCGCACAAGCGGAGGAACAUGUGGUUUAAUUCGAUGAUACGCGAGGAACCUUACCCGGGCUUGAAAGUUACUGACGAUUCUGGAAACAGGAUUUCCCUUCGGGGCAGGAAACUAGGUGCUGCAUGGUUGUCGUCAGCUCGUGCCGUGAGGUGUCGGGUUAAGUCCCAUAACGAGCGCGACCCCUACCGUUAGUUGCCAUCAGGUCAAGCUGGGCACUCUGGCGGGACUGCCGGUGUAAGCCGAGAGGAAGGUGGGGAUGACGUCAAAUCAGCACGGCCCUUACGUCCGGGGCUACACACGUGUUACAAUGGUAGGUACAGAGGGUCGCUACCCCGCGAGGGGAUGCCAAUCUCGAAAGCCUAUCUCAGUUCGGAUUGGAGGCUGAAACCCGCCUCCAUGAAGUUGGAUUCGCUAGUAAUCGCGCAUCAGCCAUGGCGCGGUGAAUACGUUCCC